rnacentral:rRNA from 1 species
GACGAACGCUGGCGGCGUGCUUAACACAUGCAAGUCGAACGGAAAGGCCCUGCUUUUGUGGGGUGCUCGAGUGGCGAACGGGUGAGUAACACGUGAGUAACCUGCCCUUGACUUUGGGAUAACUUCAGGAAACUGGGGCUAAUACCGGAUAGGAGCUCCUGCUGCAUGGUGGGGGUUGGAAAGUUUCGGCGGUUGGGGAUGGACUCGCGGCUUAUCAGCUUGUUGGUGGGGUAGUGGCUUACCAAGGCUUUGACGGGUAGCCGGCCUGAGAGGGUGACCGGCCACAUUGGGACUGAGAUACGGCCCAGACUCCUACGGGAGGCAGCAGUGGGGAAUAUUGCACAAUGGGCGGAAGCCUGAUGCAGCAACGCCGCGUGCGGGAUGACGGCCUUCGGGUUGUAAACCGCUUUCGCCUGUGACGAGGCGUGAGUGACGGUAAUGGGUAAAGAAGCACCGGCUAACUACGUGCCAGCAGCCGCGGUGAUACGUAGGGUGCGAGCGUUGUCCGGAUUUAUUGGGCGUAAAGGGCUCGUAGGUGGUUGAUCGCGUCGGAAGUGUAAUCUUGGGGCUUAACCCUGAGCGUGCUUUCGAUACGGGUUGACUUGAGGAAGGUAGGGGAGAAUGGAAUUCCUGGUGGAGCGGUGGAAUGCGCAGAUAUCAGGAGGAACACCAGUGGCGAAGGCGGUUCUCUGGGCCUUUCCUGACGCUGAGGAGCGAAAGCGUGGGGAGCGAACAGGCUUAGAUACCCUGGUAGUCCACGCUGUAAACGGUGGGUACUAGGUGUGGGGUCCAUUCCACGGGUUCCGUGCCGUAGCUAACGCUUUAAGUACCCCGCCUGGGGAGUACGGCCGCAAGGCUAAAACUCAAAGGAAUUGACGGGGCCCCGCACAAGCGGCGGAGCAUGCGGAUUAAUUCGAUGCAACGCGUAGAACCUUACCUGGGUUUGACAUGGAUCGGGAGCGCUCAGAGAUGGGUGUGCCUCUUUUGGGGUCGGUUCACAGGUGGUGCAUGGCUGUCGUCAGCUCGUGUCGUGAGAUGUUGGGUUAAGUCCCGCAACGAGCGCAACCCUUGUUCACUGUUGCCAGCACGUUAUGGUGGGGACUCAGUGGAGACCGCCGGGGUCAACUCGGAGGAAGGUGGGGAUGACGUCAAGUCACCAUGCCCCUUAUGUCCAGGGCUUCACGCAUGCUACAAUGGCUGGUACAGAGAGUGGCGAGCCUGUGAGGGUGAGCGAAUCUCGGAAAGCCGGUCUCAGUUCGGAUUGGGGUCUGCAACUCGACCUCAUGAAGUCGGAGUCGCUAGUAAUCGCAGAUCAGCAACGCUGCGGUGAAUACGUUCCCGGGGCU